rnacentral:rRNA from 1 species
AGGAUGAACGCUGGCGGCGUGCUUAACACAUGCAAGUCGAACGAUGAACCUCACUUGUGGGGGGAUUAGUGGCGAACGGGUGAGUAACACGUGAGUAACCUGCCCUUAACUCUGGGAUAAGCCUUGGAAACGGGGUCUAAUACCGGAUAUUUACGAUUGAUCGCAUGGUUGGUUGUGGAAAGAUUUAUUGGUUUUGGAUGGACUCGCGGCCUAUCAGCUUGUUGGUGAGGUAAUGGCUUACCAAGGCGACGACGGGUAGCCGGCCUGAGAGGGUGACCGGCCACACUGGGACUGAGACACGGCCCAGACUCCUACGGGAGGCAGCAGUGGGGAAUAUUGCACAAUGGGCGCAAGCCUGAUGCAGCGACGCCGCGUGAGGGAUGAAGGCCUUCGGGUUGUAAACCUCUUUCAGUAGGGAACAAGGCCGGCUUUGGUUGGUUGAGGGUACCUGCAGAAGAAGCGCGGCUAACUACGUGUCAGCAGCCGCGGU